rnacentral:rRNA from 1 species
GACGAACGCUGGCGGCGUGCCUAACACAUGCAAGUCGAGCGGGGAUUUAAGUGGAAGUUCUUCGGAAUGGAGAUUUAAAUUCUAGCGGCGGACGGGUGAGUAACGCGUGAACAAUCUGUCCCGGACAGGGGGAUAACACUUGGAAACAGGUGCUAAUACCGCAUCAGACCACGGCCUCGCAUGGGGCUGAGGUGAAAGGAGCAAUCCGGUUCGGGGUGAGUUCGCGUCCGAUUAGCUAGUUGGUGAGGUAACGGCCCACCAAGGCGACGAUCGGUAGCCGGCCUGAGAGGGUGAACGGCCACAUUGGAACUGAGAGACGGUCGAAACGCCUACGGGAGGCAGCAGUGGGGAAUAUUGGGCAAUGGGCGAAAGCCUGACCCAGCAACGCCGCGUGAGGGAAGAAGGUUUUCGGAUUGUAAACCUCUGUCCUAUGGGACGAAGGAAGUGACGGUACCAUAGGAGGAAGCCCCGGCUAACUACGUG